GAUACCUACCCACUCCUAACUAAGUAGUAUAUAAGUAGGGCUAUUUACGGAAAACAAAUUAAAAUUAUUUUUUUGUAGAGGAGGAGAGAGGAUUUUUAGUUACCGGCGGUCUCUAAUUCGCUUGGUGCAGGUCGGGAACUGAUUCUGCGAUUUGAUUGCCAGAUGGCUAAGCACGAUUGGCUGUGAGGCAAAUUAUAAAAAGAAAGAGAAUUGGAUCCCGCCUUGCAUCAACUGAAUCGGAGACCGCGGUGAAGACGCCGCCGCCGCGAAGCAGAGGCAGCAGCGUUACAUCUCUAUAGCGUGCCUUUUAUUAUCUCAAUCAGAUCUCAGGUUAUGGGGGCCAAGCCAAACUCGAUAUGGGCAAUUCUGCUGUCUGCAGCUCCUGCUAGCAAGCUCCAUUUUCUGAUUGGAAUGAGGUCAUGGAUGGCUUUAGUUCUUACAACAGAGAGAGAAUCCAAUGUAAAAAGCCUGAACUUAAUCUGAAGGGUUGCCACAUUGUCUCUCUUGAUGCUGCCCAAAUUGUCAAGGUAUCUUUUUUUUCUCUCUUCAUCUAGUCAUCCCAUCUGGUGUUUAUUUGUCAACACUCUUGGCACAUUAUAUAUGUAAUUAUUUAAUUUUUGUCCUUGGUUGGUCUUUUUCUU